rnacentral:rRNA from 1 species
GAUGAACGCUGGCGGCGUGCUUAACACAUGCAAGUCGAACGGAAAGGCUCCUGCUUGCAGGGGUACUCGAGUGGCGAACGGGUGAGUAACACGUGGGUGAUCUGCCCCGCACUUCGGGAUAAGCCUGGGAGACUGGUUCUAAUACCGGAGAGGACAGUGGUUUGGAUGCCAUUGUGGAAAGUUUUUGCGGUGUGGGGAGAGCUCGCGGCCUAUCCGCGUGUGAGGGGGGUAAUGGUCUACCAACGUGUGGGCGGGUCGACGGACUGAGAGGGUGUACGGCGACACUGGGACCGAGGGACGGCACAGACGGCGACGGGUGGCAGCAGGGGGGAAGAUUGAACAAGGGGCGCCAGCCGGAUGCAGCGAGGCUGCGUGGGGGAUAACGGUCUUCGGGUUGUAAACGCGUUUCGCGAGGGACGAAGCGUUAUGUGACGGUACCUAGAGAAGAAGCACCGGCUAACUACGUG